GCUUUGCAGAACAGCUUAAUGUUGGCUGCAUCACAAAGGGCUUCUAAAAACAUUCAAAGUGAGUCUAAUAUCAUCCGGUAAAUAUUGACCAGCAAGUGUCCUCAGUGAGCAACGUUUGUAACUAAGUCCUCCACAUUUGGCUUCAACUCAUACGACGACUUCUCAUUGACCAAUAUGGAGAAAAACACAGGAUGGUUUAUGUUGGGGACAAAAGCGGAUGUCACACAGAAUGCUGCUGCUUCCACCACCACCACAACGACUGAAAAUGGGUCCUCCACAUUUAGCUACAACUUACCCGGGGUCUGCUCAUUCUCCGUUCCGAUCAUCAACAAAGAUUGCUCUACGUGUGGGAGAAAAGCGGAGGUCAAACACGAUUUUGUUGGUCCCAUCAUCACCACGGCUGAAAAUGGGUCCUCCAUAUAUCGCUUCAACGCAUACGGCUGCAACUUCUCAUGCACCGUCCCAAUCAAGAAGACACAAAACUUUGGUUUUGGGCAACCAGGGCCAUCCUUCAACCCAAACACCAGCAUCCCACUUCCUAAUUUGUUCAAGCCGAGAGAAUCCUCUGCGUUUGGGCCAAAAGGGGAUGUCACACAGAAUGCUGCUGCUCCCAUCAACUUCAAAGCGACUGAGAACGGGCCAUCCACAUUAGGCUUCAACUCAAACAGCAGCUCCCCAUUCCCUAAUUUUUUCGGUCAGAGAGGACCCUCUGCGUUUGGGCCAAAAGCGGACGUCACACAGAAUGCUGCUGCUCCCACCAACUUCAGAGCGACUGAGAACGGGCCCUCCACAUUAGGCUUCGGCAGCAACCCACUUCCUAAUUUGUUCGGUCGGAGAGAACCCUCUGCGUUUGGGCCAAAAGCGGAUGUCACACAGAAUGCUGCUGCUCCCACCACCUUCACAAUGACUGCAAAUGGGCCAUCCACAUUAGGCUUCGGCAGCAACCCAUUCCCUAAUUUGUUCGGUCAGAGAGAUCCCUCUGCGUUUGGGCCAAAAGCGGAUGUCACACAGAAUGCUGCUGCUCCCACCAACUUCAGAGCGACUGAGAACGGGCCAUCCACAUUAGGCUUCAACUCAAACAGCAGGAUGACACUUGGCGAUUUCUUCAGGCAGGGAGAACCCUCUGCGUUUGGGCCAAAAGCGGAUGUCACACAGAAUGCUGCUGCUCCCACCAACUUCACAAUGACUGCAAAUGGGCCAUCCACAUUAGGCUUCAACUCAAACGGCAGCUUCCCACUUCCUGAUUUGUUCAGGCAGAGAGAACCCUCUGCGUUUGGGACAAAAGCGGAUGUCACACAGAAUGCUGCUGCUCCCACCUCCACCACAACGACUGAGAACGGGUUCUCCACAUUUGGCUUCAACCCAAAAAGCAGGCUCUCAUUUGUUGAUUCGAUGAAGGACAAAAAACCCUUUAUUUUUAUUAGAAAAGCGGAUGUCACACAGAAUGCUGCUGCUCCCACCACCACCACAACAACUGAGAAUGCUGACUCUAACUUCUCGUUGACGAACAUGUCUGGUGUUGCUGCAGCGUCUGCUUCCAAUAACAAGGAGGAGGGAUGUGACUCAGAAGAGAACAACGUGGACGUUCAGCCCAUAGUGUCCAUACCUGAGUCUGGGGAGGAUGGCGAGUAG
ensembl:lncRNA nucleoporin NSP1-like